UGUGCAGGUAAUUAUCUGGAACAACAAUGUGAAUUUUAUUUAUAUAUACUUUUUUUCCUACUGUUUUGUAGGACUAUUUUUAAGAGGUCAGAACUUGUAAACCAAUAUGUAACGUUUUUCUGUGAAUCCUUCCAGGAUUGCAGGUAAAAAGUCCAAAAUAUCACCUGAUGGAGCUGGACAGUACAUAGAGUGCCUCACUUCAGACAGUACCAUUACGUGGAGUUUUGGUUCUUUUUUGUAAGGUAAGUUUUGUCACUAACGAGUUUCUUUUUGCAGAAUAAAGACCAUGAAAAUAAA
rnacentral:lncRNA from 1 species